UACGUAGGGUGCGAGCGUUGUCCGGAAUUACUGGGCGUAAAGAGCUCGUAGGUGGUUUGUCGCGUUGUUCGUGAAAACUCACAGCUCAACUGUGGGCGUGCGGGCGAUACGGGCGGACUUGAGUGUUGCAGGGGAGACUGGAAUUCCCAGUGUAGUGGUGAAAUACGUAGAGAUUGGGAAGAACACCAGUGGCGAAGGCGGCUAUCUGGACGGUUACUGACGGCUAAGACUCGAAAAGCGUGGGG
rnacentral:rRNA from 1 species